CUAACACAUGCANGUCGAGCGGUAGCACAGAGAGCUUGCUCUCGGGUGACGAGCGGCGGACGGGUGAGUAAUGUCUGGGAAACUGCCUGAUGGAGGGGGAUAACUACUGGAAACGGUAGCUAAUACCGCAUAACGUCGCAAGACCAAAGUGGGGGACCUUCGGGCCUCAUGCCAUCAGAUGUGCCCAGAUGGGAUUAGCUAGUAGGUGGGGUAACGGCUCACCUAGGCGACGAUCCCUAGCUGGUCUGAGAGGAUGACCAGCCACACUGGAACUGAGACACGGUCCAGACUCCUACGGGAGGCAGCAGUGGGGAAUAUUGCACAAUGGGCGCAAGCCUGAUGCAGCCAUGCCGCGUGUGUGAAGAAGGCCUUCGGGUUGUAAAGCACUUUCAGCGGGGAGGAAGGCGAUAAGGUUAAUAACCUUGUCGAUUGACGUUACCCGCAGAAGAAGCACCGGCUAACUCCGUGCCCAGCAGCCGCGGUAAUACGGAGGGGUGCAAGCGUUAAUCGGAAUUACUGGGCGUAAAGCGCACGCAGGCGGUCUGUCAAGUCGGAUGUGAAAUCCCCGGGCUCAACCUGGGAACUGCAUUCGAAACUGGCAGGCUAGAGUCUUGUAGAGGGGGGUAGAAUUCCAGGUGUAGCGGUGAAAUGCGUAGAGAUCUGGAGGAAUACCGGUGGCGAAGGCGGCCCCCUGGACAAAGACUGACGCUCAGGUGCGAAAGCGUGGGGAGCAAACAGGAUUAGAUACCCUGGUAGUCCACGCCGUAAACGAUGUCGAUUUGGAGGUUGUGCCCUUGAGGCGUGGCUUCCGGAGCUAACGCGUUAAAUCGACCGCCUGGGGAGUACGGCCGCAAGGUUAAAACUCAAAUGAAUUGACGGGGGCCCGCACAAGCGGUGGAGCAUGUGGUUUAAUUCGAUGCAACGCGAAGAACCUUACCUGGUCUUGACAUCCACAGAACUUUUCCAGAGAUGGAUUGGUGCCUUCGGGAACUGUGAGACAGGUGCUGCAUGGCUGUCGUCAGCUCGUGUUGUGAAAUGUUGGGUUAAGUCCCGCAACGAGCGCAACCCUUAUCCUUUGUUGCCAGCGGUCCGGCCGGGAACUCAAAGGAGACUGCCAGUGAUAAACUGGAGGAAGGUGGGGAUGACGUCAAGUCAUCAUGGCCCUUACGACCAGGGCUACACACGUGCUACAAUGGCAUAUACAAAGAGAAGCGACCUCGCGAGAGCAAGCGGACCUCAUAAAGUAUGUCGUAGUCCGGAUUGGAGUCUGCAACUCGACUCCAUGAAGUCGGAAUCGCUAGUAAUCGUAGAUCAGAAUGCUACGGUGAAUACGUUCCCGGGCCUUGUACACACCGCCCGUCACACCAUGGGAGUGGGUUGCAAAAGAAGUAGGUAGCUUAACCUUCGGGAGGGCGCUUACCACUU
rnacentral:rRNA from 2 species